UUUAGCCACACGUAUUCUCUACACUGUGAAGACACUCUACAGAAGAGAGUAUGAGUUGAUUCCUUGCAAAAGAGAAUUUAUGAUGGUUUGGCAGUAGAAGGAAAAGAAACAGAUGGUUGUCUUCAUCAGUACCACACGAAUAAUACUUUCCAGGAGAACUCUUGCAAUCCAACUCAGCCUCUGGAGUCUCUACUUUUCUAACAAGAGAAAAUUGAUAUCCAAC
rnacentral:lncRNA from 1 species